rnacentral:rRNA from 1 species
GAUGAACGCUGGCGGCGUGCCUAAUACAUGCAAGUCGAGCGAACGGACGAGAAGCUUGCUUUUCUGAUGUUAGCGGCGGACGGGUGAGUAACACGUGGAUAACCUACCUAUAAGACUGGGAUAACUUCGGGAAACCGGAGCUAAUACCGGAUAAUAUUUUGAACCGCAUGGUUCAAAAGUGAAAGACGGUCUUGCUGUCACUUAUAGAUGGAUCCGCGCUGCAUUAGCUAGUUGGUAAGGUAACGGCUUACCAAGGCAACGAUGCAUAGCCGACCUGAGAGGGUGAUCGGCCACACUGGAACUGAGACACGGUCCAGACUCCUACGGGAGGCAGCAGUAGGGAAUCCUCCGCAAUGGGCGAAAGCCUGACGGAGCAACGCCGCGUAAGUGAUGAAGGUCUUCGGAUCGUAAAACUCUGUUAUUAGGGAAGAACAUAUGUGUAAGUAACUGUGCACAUCUUGACGGUACCUAAUCAGAAAGCCACGGCUAACUACGUG